rnacentral:rRNA from 1 species
UACGAAGGGCCCGAGCGUUAUCCGGAUUUAUUGGGCUUAAAGGGUGCGUAGGCGGUUUAUUAAGUCAGUGGUGAAAGCCUUCAGCUUAACUGAAGAAUUGCCAUUGAUACUGAUGAUCUUGAGUAUGAUUGAGGUGGGCGGAAUGUGUCAUGUAGCGGUGAAAUGCUUAGAUAUGACGAAGAACACCGAUUGCGAAGGCAGCUCACUGAGCCAUAACUGACGCUGAUGCACGAAAGCGUGGGGAGCAAACAGG